GACGAACGCUGGCGGCGUGCUUAACACAUGCAAGUCGAACGGAAAGGCCCUGCUUGCCGGGUACUCGAGUGGCGAACGGGUGAGUAACACGUGGGUGAUCUGCCCUGCACUUCGGGAUAAGCCUGGGAAACUGGGUCUAAUACCGGAUAGGAGCCAUUUUUAGUGUGAGGGUUGGAAAGUUUUUUCGGUGUAGGAUGAGCUCGCGGCCUAUCAGCUUGUUGGUGGGGUAAUGGCCUACCAAGGCGGCGACGGGUAGCCGGCCUGAGAGGGUGGACGGCCACAUUGGGACUGAGAUACGGCCCAGACUCCUACGGGAGGCAGCAGUGGGGAAUAUUGCACAAUGGGCGCAAGCCUGAUGCAGCGACGCCGCGUGGGGGAUGACGGCCUUCGGGUUGUAAACUCCUUUCGCUAGGGACGAAGCUUUUUGUGACGGUACCUAGAGAAGAAGCACCGGCUAACUACGUG
rnacentral:rRNA from 1 species